rnacentral:rRNA from 1 species
AGCAGCCGCGGUGAUUCCAGCUCCAAUAGCGUAUAUUAAAGUUGUUGCAGUUAAAAGCUCGUAGUUGAAUUUCGGGGUCAGUAGGUUGGUCAUGCCACUGGUAUGUACUGGUCUCACUGAUUCCUCCUUCCUGAUGAGCCGUAAUGCCAUUAAUUUGGUGUUGCGGGGAAUCUGGACUGUUACUUUGAAAAAUUAGAGUGUUUAAAGCAGGCUAACGCCUGAAUACAUUAGCAUGGAAUAAUGAAAUAGGACGUUCGAUCCUAUUUUGUUGGUUUCUAGGAUUGACGUAAUGAUUAAUAGGGAUAGUUGGGGGCAUUAGUAUUCAAUUGUCAGAGGUGAAAUUCUUGGAUUUAUUGAAGACUAACUACUGCGAAAGCAUUUGCCAAGGAUGUUUUCAUUAAUCAAGAACGAAAGUCAGAGGUUCGAAGACGAUCAGAUUACCGUCGUAGUUCUGACCAUAAACGAUGUCGACUAGCGAUCCGCGGUCGUUGUUCAUAUGACCUCGCGGGCAGCCUUCGGGAAACC